CCAAGGCUCAGAGAACUUAACCGAUGAGGGCGAAGAAAGAGCAGAAGAGAGGAAAGAAGGCACACACCAUGGCAGAUGCAGACUUCUAGGUGUGCUAUGGUCCUUACACCCUUCAGUACACAGCAGCUGUGGUUUCCUGCACAGGAUUCGUCCCUUCACCAUCUCAACAUGGAUGUGGGAGGAGCUCUCGAGGCCUGUUAUUAAGCUACAAUCUAGUCUCUCUUUUUUUUUUUUUUUUUUUUGGUUUUUCGAGACAGAGUUUCUCUGUGUAGCCCUGGCUGUCCUGGAACUCACUCUGUAGACCAGGCUGGCCUCAAACUCAGAAAUCCACCUGCCUCUGCCUCCCAAGUGCUGGGAUUAAAGGCGUGCGCCACCAUGCCCGGCUCUAGUCUUAGAUUUUUAUAAGCUAUAGAUUUCUAUAAUGAUACACCACAUAA
rnacentral:lncRNA from 1 species